rnacentral:rRNA from 1 species
UACGUAGGGGGCUAGCGUUGUCCGGAAUCAUUGGGCGUAAAGAGCGCGCAGGCGGCUGGGCAAGUCCGAUGUGAAAGCUUCCGGCUUAACUGGAAAAUUGCAUCGGAAACUGCUCGGCUUGAAGGUGGGAGAGGGUAGCGGAAUUCCCGGUGUAGUGGUGAAAUGCGUAGAUAUCGGGAGGAACACCAGUGGCGAAGGCGGCUACCUGGCCCACUCUUGACGCUGAGGCGCGAAAGCUAGGGGAGCAAACGGG